rnacentral:rRNA from 1 species
UACGAAGGGGCUAGCGUUGCUCGGAAUUACUGGGCGUAAAGCGCACGUAGGCGGCCAUGAUAGUCAGAUGUGAAAGGCCUGGGCUUAACCCGGGAACUGCAUUUGAUACUGCAUGGCUAGAGUCCAAAGAGAGGGUAGUGGAAUUCCCAGUGUAGAGGUGAAAUUCGUAGAUAUUGGGAAGAACACAGUGGCGAAGGCGGCUACCUGGCUUGGAACUGACGCUCAGGUGCGAAAGCAUGGGUAGCGAACAGG